rnacentral:misc_RNA from 1 species
GGCGUAUCGAUUAUUGAUUCCAAGAUGGCUGCUCCAAAUUGUCAAUUUAUCUUCGCAUUCAUUUUUAUGACAAUAUCGAUGGUUUCAUGCGAAAAUGUUGUUGGGGAGGCAUCCACAGAGCAAGAAUUUUGUCCGUUCUUCAAUAACAGAGCACCAAAGCCUCAGCCACAUUUAAAGAACUGCACUUGGUACAAGGAAAAUAGUUGCUGUUUGCAAAGGGAAAUUUCUGCAACUUUUGGGAAAGUAAAACCUCUGCAAGGCGCAUCAGAGGAAUGUCAGCGAUACGUCAACUAUGUUAUGUGUUAUAUGUGUUCUCCUAAUCAAUACCUAUUCUAUAGUAAGGAGCGAUUAACUGUGUGUGAAGAGUUUUGUGAUAAGUGGUAUGAGGCUUGCAAAACUGCAAUUCUGAAAGGUUCGCGUUUUGAAGAACUUUACCAAAAUGGCCGUGAAUUCUGCGAAAAAAGACGUUUUAUUAUUGAUGCUGAAGAAAAUGGGCGAUGUUUUACUUUUAGCGAUACAUUAGCAAGGAGUAGUGGGAAAAAGAUAUCCCCAAAUCCGUUACUUUUUGUCGCCUCAUUUCUUCUUUUACAUAUGUGCUAUGGAGUUAGUAAAACUCGAGGCAAUACUCCUGUUUCUCAGACAAAGAACAAGAGUAUUAAAGAUAAGACACGACAAUCAAAGAGCAGUCAAACCAUAAUUAUAUUUCCAAAGCGAAAUACUCUUCACAAUAGAAUACAAUUUAGUGCAUCAAAGCCUUGGACUGAAGCUGUAUUGUUCAGCAUCUUAUUUGCUCUGUUGUACUUUCCAAAUGGGUCUCUGGCCUUCUCUGAAAAAAAUAUAAAAGUUUUAGCAAAAUUUCUUUCUGACGAGCUCCUUAUGUUAGAGAAAGAUGGUUUAAGAGGGAAUGCUAUUCAAGAACUUUAUGAUAAGGCUACUUAUUCGAGUGAAACACUGAAUGCAAAAAACAAGGUCACAGAAGUAAAGGAAAAACUAGGAAAGUACUUCACCAUGAAGAAACAGUUGUUAAUGCAGCUUGCUGGUAAUGUAACGAGGCUACAUGAUGAAUGGUACACGGAAGAAAUCAAUAAUAGUCGUCGCCCUGCUCACCUCAGCCAACUGGCUGGAGAUGUCUUCAUUGAUGCAGAUAGUGAAGACAUCGAAGAUCAUCUUCAUUAUGACAGUGAUUUCCAGUUGAAGAUUCUGUUAAACCAAAGUGUAGUAAAGAUAGCAGAUUCUGAAGGUAGAGGGCUAUCAGAUGUUGUAGACACUGUCUCAUGGACAGCAGGACUUGAUAGACAUUUCAAGGAUGCCAGGGCAAUUGACAAAGAUAUAAGGUGGCAGUACUUUGGCUCUAAUACUGGAAUACAUAGAGUAUUCCCAGGACACGAAUGGAGCCGUAACUUUAUUGGAUUCCAUGAUGAUUAUGAUCCAAGGACGAGACCCUGGUACCUUGCAGCAACAUCAGGUCCUAAAGAUAUUGUCCUCAUAUUAGAUGCCAGCUCCUCCAUGGCACAGUCAAAUGCAUUUAAUAGAAUGAAGUCCGUGGCAUUGAAGCUUAUAAGCACAUUUACGCGGUCAGAUUCUGUCAAUGUCAUUGUGUCAAGAUCUCCACACUGGGAUGCCACUGGGAGAUAUUUUGAUCACAGAACUGAGGUCCUGAGUUGUGUGAAAGACAGGUUGGUCCCUGCAUCAACAAAACAAAGGAGAGCAUGGAGACAAAGUAUUGAGAAUCUUCAAGUAAGAGGAGGAUCAGAUCACACAGAGGCUUUUGAGACUGCAUUCUCUAUGCUACAUCAUCCCAGCAAGACAGGGUGCCAGAGUAUCGUAGUGUUUAUCACUGAUGGCUCUCAUCAGGACCCUCAACAGAGAUGCUCAUCAGGAGCCUAUAGGUAUGACAGUGAUGGUAAUCGUGAAUGGGAGCCAGGAAGUUAUUGUCAGUAUGACUACAAUCAGCUUCUCCUCAAUGUGGAUAACAUGCAGGAGCAGCUUAUUCAAAAGGCAAGAAUAUUUACAUUUCACACUGCCACUGACACUGAUGAAGUCUAUGAUGAUGUUCAAUUCUCAAACAGUGCUGGGUUCCCUGGACUUCUAGCAUGCUACUCUAAUGGCAUCAUGGCUACAAUUACUAAUGAGGAGAACCCUUAUAAACAAUUGUUCAAAUAUUUCACUUACCUGGCAACAAGUUCUGCAAGACAGGAGGUGGUUUGGACUGCCCCUUAUAUAGAUGCUGGUGGACUUGGACUUAUGCUGUCUGCCACAGUCUCUGUAUAUAGUAAUAUAACUGGCAGGCACUUAGGUGUUGUUGGAUUGGACUCUACUUUGGCUAAUAUAGAAACCAUGCUUCUGAAUGAAGUAUGGGGCUCUGUGUAUAGUUUUAUGAUCAACCAGGACAACCAAGCUAUUGUACAUCCUCUUAUUAAAUCAUCAGCUGAGUUGCUUGAUGAUCCUGUGUUUGUUGAUAUCAGCAAGCUUGAGACUUUAGAAGGUGAACCAAAUGGCUUCACUGAGGUUCUUUCUGAGAUGAAGCAUGGAAGAAGUGGUGAUAUUCGGAUUCAUGAAAAUGCCAGACGUGCUGUUUCCAUUCAUAAUGCCCUUGUCUGGAGGGAUUUGGAAUAUUCACGAUAUGUGUUUGCACCAAUUCCAGAUUCAGAGUAUUCAGUUGCAUUCAGUAUUGGACCUUGGGAUGAGGACUUCACUCAUGUCGAUGAUCCAAUAUUGAGAAGCAACAAGUCCUACCUACAUCAGCUAUUAAGUCUUGGCACAAACCACCAAAAUGAAUCAGAAUGGUUGCAAGAACUUCACCAAGAGCUUUCACCCAUCACAGAUCACCCACAAUAUAAAGGUAUGACAAUCAGCAAAGCACAUAGUACAGUACAGCUAUCAGCGAGGAACUUCUGUGAUCCCAAGUCUUACUUAGAGCUUCAUGUACCUGAUUUGCUACAAACACAGCACCACCUUGCUAGUGUAGGUUACGAUGAAUAUGUCCUCUGUUCCAAUGGCCUCUAUAGGUCAACACUAAGGGCUGAUGUAAAGAUCACCUCUUUCAUUGAAGAGUUGUGGAGAGAAAGGCCAUUGAAUCUUCAGGAUCAAAUUGCAUGGAGUUACAUUGGAACUAGGGGUGGAGUAAUGAGGAUAUACCCUGGUAUGGAGUUUCAACAAGAUUAUGAUGCAACAAGGAGGCCCUGGUACAAUAGAGCACUUGCCAAUAGGGGGCUCUUAGUUAUGUCCAGUGUGUAUCGGGAUGCCCCUUCAAGUUCCAAUGUUGGGCUGGGUAAAGUGGUGACAAUGUCCAAGGCCAUACAUCAAGUCAAGAGUAACAUAGGCUAUCAUUGUAAAAGAAUAAAGAAAGGUCAAGGCUGUGACUGUACUUCAAAUGAGGAAUGUCAUUCAGGAUUUUGUGACAAGUUGAAAUGCGCUCAUGAUGUCAUUGAGGCAGUGGCAGCAAUUGACUUACGCUAUGAAGACUUUCAGAGUCUCACUUACAAAAUUCUUGACCCUGUCAUCCCAGGACACAGUUGCAAUACAACAUAUGAGUGCAAUGGAGGAUACAACUGCCAAACUAGGUGUUACAUCAUAGAUGAUGUGGGGGAUCUAGUGUUGGACCCUGAAUUUGAAAAGCUUCCCGAAGAAGCAGUUCUGGAAUAUGAACAUCUGUCACUGGCUAAGACACAUGGAACUAUAUUCUCUCAACUUAUCAAACGUGGAGUUUAUAUGAGGAAAAGUACACUGGAUUAUCAAGCUGCUUGUACAAUAUCCUCUGAAGAAACACCAGUUAAACCAAUACACAACCAAGCUACUAGGGGCCCAAUACCACCAUUUAAAAAUAAAUAUGCCUGUACAAAAGAAAUCAUCCAUUAUACCAUCAACAAAACAGUACUAGAUAUGAACCAAGGACUCAUUGGGGGUCUACUGGACGAUGACCCUUGUGCUAGGGGUUCAUAUUUUUUUGCACAAAUAGAUGGCAGUAAUGUUUACCUCCUGGUCUUAAAGGAUUACUAUAAACUACCAGCAUUGGUGAACCUGAACUGCCUCAUCUCCAAUAGGGUUCAUGCACCAGGGGCAUUUAAAUUGACAGAAGAUGUCUGUGAUGAGCACAGUACCUACAGUAACAUGACCGCAAGUUCCACAUGCCCUAAACUAAAGACAAUCAAUGUAGAGUGUGGAUAUGUCAGUGGUGCAAAUAGCAAGAUUCAAGCUGCAUUCCUUGUUUUAAUACUAACAGUAUUGUUGAGUAAACAUUUGUGUCAAUAGAUUUUACAUCAGCUGAACUAUACAAAAUUGUUUCAUCAAUUUAAGACAAAUAGAAUAGGAUUUGAUCAUAGCAAUUAGACCAGUAAUAUAUGUUUAUCAGGUCACAUUUAAUUUGUAGAGCCCAAGAGAACUUCUAAACUUAAUAUUUGAUGGUUAAUGAUGUGAGAAACAAUUGUUCUCUGUUUUUGUCAUCUUAUUGUUAACAAAGAGUGUAGUGUUUUGUCAACUUAACAAUUUUGUUUAAUUCAGGGGUGUCAAAAAUGUAAUUAUUAAUCAUUUGCUGCAACUAUAUUUUCUAUUAAUGGUAAAUUCUGUAAGGCGUAAGCUCAAAAGUGUCAACAAUGCCAUUUUGGCAAGAAAUGAUCAUUACAAGUAUUGACUAAUCAACUUUACAUUCAUUACAAGUUCAAAAGCAUAUUCAUGAAGUUACAUUUAUUUUAUACUCAGAAUAAUUAUUAUUGUUUGUUCCUGAAAUACAUAUAUCUCAAAGUAUGGGAUGAAUUGAACCAUAACCAUGUACACAUCACAAAGGUGAUAUAGUUGAUAGAUACCGGUUUAUUACAUGUUUAUGAUGAAACCCCAGAGAAAGAAAUCCUGUGCAAUAACUUAAACCAGCCUGAAUAUUUUACAAUUCAAGUACUGGAAUGCAGUUUUGAUAUAUCAAAAUGUACAUUGACAUUUUUCUUCUGCUUCGAUAUGAGGUGGUCUCUUUGAAAAUUUGUUAUGUUUAUAUUGCCUUUGAGUCAAUGUUAAGUCAAUAUAUGUCAAAAUGUCAUUUUACAAUUUUAAGGACAUAAUGUCAAUUCUAAUAUGAUACAUGAUGUCACAAUAGCUAGAACAAUUGAUUUACUGGUCUAUAUUGGAGUAUGUAUGACUGCUAGGAUUAAUAAAUGCAAAUAGUUGUGUUUCUUGUCUGUUUAUCAUAUUAGAAUCGUCACAAAAACCUC